AGUGAACGCUGGCGGCAGGCCUAACACAUGCAAGUCGAGCGGCAGCGCGGGGCAACCUGGCGGCGAGCGGCGGACGGGUGAGGAAUGCAUCGGAAUCUACCCUGUCGUGGGGGAUAACGUAGGGAAACUUACGCUAAUACCGCAUACGACCGAGAGGUGAAAGUGGGGGACCGCAAGGCCUCACGCGAUUGGAUGAGCCGACGCCGGAUUAGCUAGUUGGUGGGGUAAAGGCCCACCAAGGCGACGAUCCGUAGCUGGUCUGAGAGGAUGAUCAGCCACACUGGGACUGAGACACGGCCCAGACUCCUACGGGAGGCAGCAGUGGGGAAUAUUGGACAAUGGGCGCAAGCCUGAUCCAGCCAUGCCGCGUGUGUGAAGAAGGCCUUCGGGUUGUAAAGCACUUUUGUUCGGGAAGAAAUCGCGCGGAUUAAUACUUCGUACGGAUGACGGUACCGAAAGAAUAAGCACCGGCUAACUUCGUGCCAGCAGCCGCGGUAAUACGAAGGGUGCAAGCGUUACUCGGAAUCACUGGGCGUAAAGCGUGCGUAGGCGGUUGGUUAAGUCUGCUGUGAAAGCCCUGGGCUCAACCUGGGAACCGCAGUGGAUACUGGCUAGCUAGAGUGUGAUAGAGGAUGGUGGAAUUCCCGGUGUAGCGGUGAAAUGCGUAGAGAUCGGGAGGAACACCAGUGGCGAAGGCGGCCAUCUGGAUCAACACUGACGCUGAGGCACGAAAAGCGUGGGGGAGCAAACAGGAUUAGAUACCCUGGUAG
rnacentral:rRNA from 1 species